UGACUAGUCACCCUGUGACUGUGAUGCUG
rnacentral:piRNA from 1 species